rnacentral:tRNA from 1 species
UUAUAGGCUCAAUUCCUAU